GUCCAUUUUCUGUUGUUUUUAGUUACAUUGUUUGCAGUGGUAUCAUUGACAACCUACAGACAUGUUUUAAUUGCGUUGGUGGUCCUGUUGAUAAUGAUCAAGUGACGCCAAGUAUUGUUCUAGAGUCUUUGGAAACCUUAUGCGCUAUUGCUAGAUAUUAUUCCUUCAGGUAAUUGAUAUAAUUACUGGGUUGACCCAGUGAACUCUCUCUCUCUCUCUCUCUCUCUCUCUCUCUCUCUCUCUCUCUCUCUCUCUCUCUCUCUCUCUCUCUAUAUAUAUAUC